rnacentral:misc_RNA from 1 species
GAUGAAGAACGUAGCGAAAUGCGAUAAGUAGUGUGAAUUGCAGAAUUCAGUGAAUCAUCGAAUCUUUGAACGCACAUUGCGCCCCUUGGUAUUCCAUGGGGCAUGCCUGUUCGAGCGUCAUUUGUACCUUCAAGCUCUGCUUGGUGUUGGGUGUUUGUCCUUGCUCUAGUGGCGGGACUCGCCUUAAAGUAAUUGGCAGCCAGUGUUUUGGUUUUGAAGCGCAGCACAAGUCGCGAUUCAAGUCUAUACGCUAGUUUCCACAAGUCUUUUAUCACUUUUGACCUCGGAUCAGGUAGGGAUACCCGCUGAACUUAAGCAUAUCAAUAGCGGAGGA